CUGCCAUUACGAAGGAUUGUUGUGUGUCGCUGUCUUUGUCCACUUCUUUAGCAUCUGCGGAGCAAGGCAGACACCACCAUCUUCCCAAGUUUGUCAUGGAAUAUCUCCUACUACUUCCUAACUCUGCAUGGCGAGAGGAAGACCGUUUGUUUUCCUCCAUUUUGGUUUGAAAAAGCCCAUCUUGUGAAUUGCAAUCAGGUCAAAGCAAACUUCGAGGGUCGCCCGAGAAUCAUCUGGAAAAGGGGAUGGAGACGAACGGAAUGAGAGGAGCACAACGGGAUUAGGCUGAGCACAAGGUUGGAUGGUACUGUCUUGUCGAAUCUUGGAAGUUACCUUCUGGAACUGAAGGAAUGGUCAGGAGAAGACUGGCAGUCAACUUCUUUGUAGUCCUGACCAUCCUCUUUCUUACUCAACUCUGCAGCACUGUAGAUGUUAACUGCUGCACUGUUUAUAUCCUGCCGUUUAACUCAUCGGUUCCCAACCUUGUUUUGACCAGGGACCACUUUGACCACGGAUGAUUGGAUCAGGAACCACUGGACCAGGGACCACUGGACCAGGGACUACUUUGACCAGAGACCACCUUGACCAGGGACCACUUGACCAUGGUCCACUUUGACCAGAGACCACUUUGACCAUGGGCCACUGAACCAGGGACCACUGGACCAGGGUCCACUUUGAUCAGAGACCACUUUGACCACGGACCAUUGGACCAGGGUCAAAGGGACCACUUUGACCAGGGUCCACUUUGACCAGAGACUACUUUGACUAGAGACCACUUUGAUCAGAGACCACUUUGACCACAGACCACUGGACCAGGGUCAAAGGGACCACUUUGACCAGGGUCCACUUUGACCAGAGACCACUUUGAUCAGAGACCACUUUGAUCAGAGACCACUUUGACCACAGACCACUGAACCAGGGACCACUUUGACCAGGGUCCCCUUUGAUCAGAGACCACUUUGACCACGGACCACUGAACCAGGGACCACUUUGACCAGGGUCCCCUUUGAUCAGAGACCACUUUGACCACGGACCACUGAACCAGGGACCACUUUGACCAGGGUCCCCUUUGAUCAGAGACCACUUUGACCACGGACCACUGAACCAGGGACCACUUUGACCAGGGUCCCCUUUGAUCAGAGACCACUUUGACCACGGACUACUGGACCAUGGACCACUUUACCAGGGACCACUUUGACCAGAGACCACUUGAGCAAGAACCACUUGGUCAAUUCACUAGGGACCAUUUUGACCACGAACCACUGGACCAAGGACCACUUCAUCAGGGACCACUUUGACCAGAGAGUAAUCUCAGAGUAAUGGUUGAAACCGGCUACAGAACAAAGUUAUCGACCACACAUACGGACUGAGUUGGACAUGAUCUUAUCUUGGCGAUUUGGCUUAUUUGUAAUUUUAAUCGAUAUGCAUUUUAACUCGUGAUUGUAUGAUGUUUCUAGACUGUACUAUUAGCCGGUCUGAGUCCCUCUACGGAGGUUGAGAAGAUCGGGAUAGAAAAGUUUUAAAUAAAUAAAUAAAUUUGACCAGGAGCCACUUGACCAGGGACCAAUUCACGAAGGACCAUUUUGACUAGGGAUCACUUUGACCCCUGGACCUCUUUGACCAGAGACCACUUUGACCAGGGACCACUCUCCAACAUUAGUACCAAAAGGGUUACAAAUAAGAUUUUUUUAAAUCAAUUUUAGAUCCGGUUUGGUUAUUUGGGGUGCUGAUUCAGGAAACUGUCUUGGAUAGACCACAUCAGCUGAUUCAGAAAAUUGCAUUGGAUAGACCACAUCAGCUCUAGUUUCUGAUAGAGAUCAUAAACCACCCAGUAGUCGCCAUCUGCUCGCCCACAGAAAACCAUAUUUAAUAAUCUAGAAUUUAUGUGGUAGUACAAUAGAGUCUCGCUUAUCCGACAUAAACGGGCUGGCAGAAUGUCGGAUAAAUGAAAAUGUCGGAUAAUAUGGAGUCUCCUACUCUUACCCGUCUGACACGGUGCUAGGUACCUAAAUACUAACAACAGGGACUCAAAGAGUUAAGGCACGGCAAUGCCCCGGGGCUGGAGAGGCCCAACGGAUGAGGAACCUGGAAAUUGUUGCGCAGCAAGGAGAUCUUAGCCACGUCCCAUGCUCAAGACACACAGACAAGAGUAGAAAAAUCUUUACUCUUAAUAGCAGAGGUGAAAUACAAACUUGCAAGGUUACAUACAAAAUACAAACAGUGCAAGAAACUUACAUAGUCUUUGUAAGUAACACAAAACAAGGCAUCUUCGUCUUAAGUCAAAUGAGAAAGCAAAACAUAAACCUUGAGUUAACAGCUAUUCCAUCAUAGCCUCCUUUAGAGCAGCAUAACGGCUUCUCUCCAACCUGCUCCUCAGAGCAGAGCCUUUGAGUAAAAGCUUUCCAGAACUGUAUUCUAAAAACCCAUACAGUUAUACCCUAUCGGCUGUACUCCAAGAUUGCUAGUUGACCUACAUUACCAGCUGCACAUAAUAAUUACCAUCAUAAGGUUAUUCUUCGACACACACAUACUUGGUCCUGCUGCAACUUACCGUAACAGAAAUCACAUAGGGAAGGAGGGAGGAUGCUGGUUAACCUACAUUACCAGCUGCACAAAAUAAUUACCAUCAUAAGGUUUUUUUCAACACAUACACUAGGUCUGGCUACAACUUACCGUAACAGAAAUCACAGAGGGAAGAAGGGAGGAUGCUGGUUGACCUACAUUACCAGCUGCACAUAAUAAUUACCAUCAUAAGGUUUUUCUUCAGCACACACACACUUGGUCCUACUACAACUUACCAUAACAGAAAUGACAGAGGGAAGGAGGGAGGAUGCUGAUUGACCUACAUUACCAGCUGCACACAAUAAUUACCAUCUUCAAUAUACACACACUUGGUCCUGCUACAACUUACUGUAACAGAAAUCACAGAGGGAAGGAGGGAGGAUGCUGGUUGACCUACAUUACUAGCUGCACAUAAUAAUUACCAUCAUAAGGUUUUUCUUCAGCACACACACACUUGGUCCUACUACAACUUACCAUAACAGAAAUGACAGAGGGAAGGAGGGAGGAUGCUGAUUGACCUACAUUACCAGCUGCACACAAUAAUUACCAUCUUCAAUAUACACACACUUGGUCCUGCUACAACUUACUGUAACAGAAAUCACAGAGGGAAGGAGGGAGGAUGCUGGUUGAUACUGUAUUGGUUGGUUGUGAGAGUUCUGUGUGCCAAGUUUGGCUCAAUUCCAUCAUUGGUGGAGAUCAAAAUACUCUUUGAUUGUAGGUGAACUAUAAAUCCCAGCAAUGACUUACUGUCAUUGAAAUGCAACUGUGAACCUGCCUUUCCGGCUGGCCUUCCAUCAUUUACUUUUAAAUAAAGACAAACUAGAUAUCGGCCUAUCUAGAAACAUGUCUUUCAUGCAGUAACUGGGAUGCUGUUAGUGACAAACACAUGCCUAAGUAUGUGCUAUGCAUAGAGUAACAUAUAUUUGGAAGACAACAGCAGGCCAUUGUACGUAGUAGCACAUUGGACAUUGUGCCUACUCAUUGAUGGAGUAACCUUAGUUCCACUUGCAUAGUGCGGACCUUGGAUUGUGGUUCAAGAGGAGCAGAGAUAAUGUUUUUGUAUACCUCCCCUUUUUUAUUUAAUUAUAUUAUAAACAAUGUGAAAUUUAAUUUAAUUAUAUUAUAAACAAUAUAAACAAUUACCAUUUUUAACAAGACAAACCUGACCAUUGUUUACCGAAAGCUUUUCAAGUUUUAUCUGAAUUCUUGAAUUCGUUAGUUCACAGCAUGCAAAAAAAAAAAAAAAUCAUAUAAAUUUACUAUUCAACUUAAGCAUCUCUCCAUGGGUCAAAAAGUGACUGUGGAACUGCCCGAAACUCACUGUUGUUCUUAAUGAAAUUAAUAAAGGGAAACCAUAUUGAAAAGA